UAUGUGAUCGUCUCUCGCAUAUCAAUAAGCGGAGGAAAAGAAACUAACAAGGAUUCCCUUAGUAACGGCGAGUGAAGCGGGAAGAGCUCAAAUUUGAAAUCUUCAAGGUUUUACCUUGACGAAUUGUAGUUUAAAGAAGUGUUUUCUGUUGAAGUUUUGGUAAAAGUUCUUUGGAAUAGGACAUCAUAGAGGGUGGAGAAUCCCGUAUUUGACCAUUAUUUUCAGCUGUGUGAUACACUUUCAAAGAGUCGGAUUGUUUGGGAAUGCAGUCCAAAAUGGGUGGUAAAUUUCAUCUAAAGCUAAAUAUUGGCGAGAGACCGAUAGCGAACAAGUACCGUGAGGGAAAGAUGAAAAGAACUUUGAAAAGAGAGUUAAACAGUACGUGAAAUUGUCAAAAGGGAAGCGUUUGACACCAGUGUUGUUUUCUCGAAAAUCAAUUAAAAAGAGUUUGAUUUUGUUGUGUAUUGACCUUAACAGCUUGCAUUUCAAUUUUCUUGCUUUUUUUAAUGCACUUUUCGUUUAACAAGUCAACAUCAGUUUCUUUUGUUGUAAAAAGGUCAUUGGAAGGUGGCUUUCUUUUCGGAGAAAGUGUAUAUAGCCUUUGACUCCUGCAAUCGGAGAGACUGAGGUCUGCAGCGUAGAUCCUUCGGGGUUAGAUACAUUUGUGCUAAGUUAUAGCUUUUUAUAGACAACUUGUUGACUAUGAUUAGUCUUGUAGCUUACUCGCUUAUGCUAUUUUACCUACGCUUAGGAUGUUGAAGAUGUAGCACAUCAU
rnacentral:rRNA from 1 species